rnacentral:rRNA from 1 species
AGUAACCUGCCUUGGAGUGGGGAAUAACACAGUGAAAACUGUGCUAAUACCGCAUAAUGCAUUUGGGUCGCAUGAUUCUGAAUGCCAAAGAUUUAUCGCUCUGAGAUGGACUCGCGUCUGAUUAGCUAGUUGGCGGGGUAACGGCCCACCAAGGCGACGAUCAGUAGCCGGACUGAGAGGUUGGCCGGCCACAUUGGGACUGAGACACAGCCCAG